rnacentral:rRNA from 1 species
AACCCCCCGCCGGAAAUCGGCUCAUUACAUAAGUCUUGGUUUAUUAGAUUUAUAUUGUCAUCAAAUGGAUAACUGUGGAAAAUCUAGAGCUAAUACAUGCCGCGAAACUUCGACUUGCGAAGGAGUGCUUUUAUUAGAUCAAAGCCAAUGGCCCACUUGUGGGUCUUAUACUGUGCUGAUUCUGAAUAAAGUAAGCUGAUUGCAUUGCCAUUGAGUAGGUGACGUAUCUUUCAAGUGUCUUCCCUAUCAACUUUCGUUGGUACUUUAUAUGACUACCAUGGUCGUAACGGGUGACGGGGAAUCAGGGUUCGAUUCCGGAGAGAGAGCAUGAGAAACGGCUGUCACAUCCAAGGAAGGCAGCAGGCGCGCAAAUUACCCAAUCCUAGAUCGGGGAGGUAGUGACGAAAAAUAACGAUGCCGUGAUCUUAGGAUUCGGCAAUUGGAAUGAGAACAAUCAAAAUCCUUUAUCGAGGAUCAAUUGGAGGGCAAGUUCUGGUGCCAGCAGCCGCGGUAAUUCCAGCUCGAAUAGCGUAUAUUAAAUUUGCUGCGGUUAAAAAGCUCGUAGUUGGUUGUCAGGAGAUGAACUAGGGGCUACCAAAAUUGUGUAGUCAUACCCGAGAUUCGCUCCUUUAAAUACCACUCCUAUGUGACGCACUUUGAUGUGUGCUGCGUAUGGAUGGUAUGAUACUACUUUGAGAAAAUUAGCGUGCUCAACGCAGGCGAUUCGCUUGUAUACUGUUGCAUGGAAUAAUGAGAAGGACCUCGGUUCUGUUUCGUUGGUUUCCGGAAGCUGAGGUAAUGAUUGAUAGGGAACAAACGGGGGCAUUCGUAUUGUGGUGUUAGAGGUGGAAUUUCUGGUGAUCAACCGCAAGACGAACAACUGGCGAAAGCAAUUUUGUCCAGAAUUGUUUUUCAUUUAAUUCCAAGGAAACGCGAAA